ensembl:lncRNA
UCAAGAAUGGAUGUGGAAACUUUCAUUUGACGCUAAUUAAAGAUGGCACAAAUAUAUGAAAUAUUCUGACAAGAGACUUCUCCCAGUCCCACGAGUUAACAGUUGGAGGAAGAAGCGAGGGGCUACGUCAAGGCCAAAGCCAACAGCGAGCAUGAUAACUCAGCGUUGAUUAUAGAGUGAGGACUGCGUCACAUAGACCACACGGGCUCAACAUGUUGCUGUUUCUAGAAGCUUGCUGAACUACAAACCUGCUUCCACUCAUGGGGUUUGAUUUUACCUGAUUCAGGAGGCUGUUAAAUGUGCACGAUCAUGGAGUCAUUCAUCACACGCUCACUGUGCGCCGGUCCCAGUCCCAGUAUGCAGUUCCAGGUGCACCCUUGCUGCACACAAAUCAGGGAAUGGUCACAACUACAUGUGAUUCAGAACGGUCUGGAUGUCAUAUAGAAUAUAACAAAGGCAAAGCUGAAGAGAACUGGUGGAAAGAGCUCUGCUGUAUGUUCACGUUGUUCAUCGGACUGAAAUGUGGGUACGGAUAGUUUUGUAAGAGACUUACAGUAUAGUUGUAUAAGAGAUCUAACAUAUGUAAUGUAUAACCGAAUCAUAAAGAAUUUAACUGUUCUAGUUCAGAUUCCGGU